rnacentral:rRNA from 1 species
GACGAACGCUGGCGGCGUGCUUAACACAUGCAAGUCGAACGGAAAGGCCCUGCUUUUGUGGGGUGCUCGAGUGGCGAACGGGUGAGUAACACGUGAGUAACCUGCCCUUGACUUUGGGAUAACUUCAGGAAACUGGGGCUAAUACCGGAUAGGAGCUCCUGCUGCAUGGUGGGGGUUGGAAAGUUUCGGCGGUUGGGGAUGGACUCGCGGCUUAUCAGCUUGUUGGUGGGGUAGUGGCUUACCAAGGCUUUGACGGGUAGCCGGCCUGAGAGGGUGACCGGCCACAUUGGGACUGAGAUACAGCCCAGACUCCUACGGGAGGCAACAGUGGGGAAUAUUGCACAAUGGGCGGAAGCCUGAUGCAGCAACGCCGCGUGCGGGAUGACGGCCUUCGGGUUGUAAACCGCUUUCGCCUGUGACGAAGCGUGAGUGACGGUAAUGGGUAAAGAAGCACCGGCUAACUACGUG